GGUGGCAUGGCUCAGGAGGUAGAGCAGGCGGUUUAGGAAUCAUAAGGUUCCUGGUUCGAUCCCCGGCUUCUCCA